UGGGGAAUAUUGGACAAUGGGCGCAAGCCUGAUCCAGCCAUGCCGCGUGUGUGAAGAAGGCCUUUUGGUUGUAAAGCACUUUAAGCGAGGAGGAGGCUACUUGGAUUAAUACUCUAGGAUAGUGGACGUUACUCGCAGAAUAAGCACCGGCUAACUCUGUGCCAGCAGCCGCGGUAAUACAGAGGGUGCGAGCGUUAAUCGGAUUUACUGGGCGUAAAGCGUGCGUAGGCGGCUUCUUAAGUCGGAUGUGAAAUCCCUGAGCUUAACUUAGGAGUUGCAUUCGAUACUGGGAAGCUAGAGUAUGGGAGAGGAUGGUAGAAUUCCAGGUGUAGCGGUGAAAUGCGUAGAGAUCUGGAGGAAUACCGAUGGCGAAGGCAGCCAUCUGGCCUAAUACUGACGCUGAGGUACGAAAGCAUGGGGAGCAAACAGG
rnacentral:rRNA from 1 species